GGGCCCGCACAAGCGGUGGAGUAUGUGGUUUAAUUCGACGCAACGCGCAGAACCUUACCCAGCCUUGACAUCCCUGGACCGCCAUAGAGAUAUGGUUUUCUCCUUCACGGGAGACCGGGUGACAGGUGCUGCAUGGUUGUCGUCAGCUCGUGCCGUGAGGUGUCAGGUUAAGUCCUAUAACGAGCGCAACCCCUGUGGUUAGUUGCCAGCGAGUAAUGUCGGGAACUCUAGCCAGACUGCCGGUGCAAACCGCGAGGAAGGUGGGGAUGACGUCAAAUCAUCACGGCCCUUACGCCCCUGGGCCACACACGUGCUACAAUGGCAGGUACAGCAAGCAGCCACUCCGCGAGGAGGAGC
rnacentral:rRNA from 1 species